ACGACGUCCGAGGGGUGUCCGGUUUCCGCAAGGGGCCGGGCUGAGACAGCCGGCCGGCUGAACCCUUUGAACCUGAUCCGGAUCAUGCCGGCGAAGGAACGGGAGUUCGUCGAGUG
rnacentral:ncRNA from 2 species